UUUUCCUUCACAAGAGAGAAGCGACCGCCAGCUUGUGAAGCCAUCAUCUCUAUCCUAGUACAAGCUCACCACCGAGUCUUGUAUCAAAAAAACAAGCAAGGAUCUGACUCUCCUAACACCACACAGCAUGGAUCUCACUUCUUCUGGCUUAGAAACAGCAAGAACAGCCUAGAAACACCACCAAAAAGCGUUACAGAAACCUUCAAAAAUUUUCAAUCUCUUUCACUCUCUGUAAAAUGCUAAAGUCUGCUGAAGAAUGACAAAGGUCGACUUCUCUUCUUUUAAAUGUCAAGCCUAGGGUUAAACCGACCUAAUUAAGCUGAUUUUGCAAUUAAAAUUAAACCGACCUAACCGAAAAAUGUUGGUGUCGCUCGACA
rnacentral:lncRNA from 1 species